UCUGGGCUUUUAUUACCAUAGUUAGAGUAGGCCCAGACAUUGAGCCAUAUUAGAGACCCAUCCAAAAUUAGGUCUCGCCUUCCUCUUCCUAAUCCUCUUGCAAGUGCGACCUCCACGAUGAAACUCAAUUCAGACUUUAAGCGCCAAUCCGAAUUCAGUAACCUCUCACCAAUUCAUAUAUCAUUCCUUUACUCCUUGAGUUUUUCGUUAUUACAACUCAAACGAUAUCCAAAAACAAUUUUUUCGUAGCAACCCAUCCGAUUAUGGCUAAUUCCUUCAUCAUUCUUGCGGAAUUUAAAAACAUAGACCAGUCUCUCCAAGGAAGAUGACAGGCUUAGAGUAUGUGAUCAGUGAUGCUACUGAGAUUGUCCCGACAAGAUUAUAUCGAUGCUGACGUAUAAUAUCGAUGCAAACGUAUAACAAGGUUAUAUCGAUGCUAACGUAUAAUAUCGUGGACGGUACAAUAUACCAGGCUCCACAGCUUUGUAGUGUCUUUGCAGCUCGAGUUGUAUGUUUCUUCAUCCUUUCUAUUUACGUUCAUGUGUUGCUUGGAGGGCACAGACUAAGCGAAGCUGCAUUAAAGUUGGGGACGAUUAGGCAGGUUGAUGCUAAAAACCAGAACAAGCAUUCUGAGACAAAGCCCCCAAUGGUACACAAUCUUUCACACCACUUCUCUUCCGGUAAAUAUCUCCAAUAUAAAAUAUUGUUUUUUCCUCAGUUGGGUUUUAUGGGUGUGCUCUGUGACAGAGGAAUUGAAUUUGAUGUUUUUAGAUUCCUCAAAGAUGAUGUUUUUGUAGAAAUCAGGAGCAACACACCUUAUAUAAGAAAAAAAAGAAUUGAACAGUAUCUAUGUCGAAGAAGUCAAGAGUUCUUUGAGCAACGCGUUUCUUCAGGCUGAUAUUGCUUUAGCAGAGGACCGCAACAGAGGCUCUUUUCUCAGGCUUUUCUUCUGGUACCUCGGCUCUUGCUGCCCUUAUUUUUGGAAGCAGAUGGCAGAGCCAUUCUCUGUAGGAAUGGUGAAGCCAUAGACAUGUCUCGAGACCACAAACCAAUCUACUUACCGUAAAGAAGAAAGUCUAAGGAAGUGGCGGCUUCAACGAUGCCAGUUACUUAAAUGGCAUAGCGAUUGGGACAUGUAACUACCACGAGGGUCACGAUCUCCACUCUUAGCAGAGCCAGGAGAUCAAAAGAUACAUUUAACAGAGGAAGACAAGUUUCUAAUGAUGGGAUGCGAGGAGAUUUGGGACGUUUUGACAAUUCAAAAGGUUUUUGUAUCGUUAGGUUUGAAUUACAUCGAUCACGAUCCGAUAACGCUUGUUUGAGGUCUUUAAGGCUAAAUAAGUUAGAUAACCUAACAGUGGUUGUUUGAUUCUUGUCGGCUGAUGACAUAAGAGCAAUGGUCGCUCCUCCGGUGGAGGAUCAACGGUGUUUUAUUUUUCUCAGAGAUUGAGGGCCUUAUUUGAUGGUUGAAUGAAAAGAUAAUGACAUUCCCUUUUGUGUUCUUGGCUGAGCUUUUUCUUGCUUUUGUAUAUUUGGGGUCUGUAUCUAACUUCGAGUGUCUUCGUGCCCCAAGUUUUCUGUAAGCGGUUAUUUGUUCGUGCAUGGAUUGAAAGUUUUUUUUUAUGUACGUGGUUCAUUUAGUUUAUAUAAUUACAUGGAUUCCAGUUUAUGAAAACAAAAUAGAUUUGUAUGCGAA